rnacentral:rRNA from 1 species
UACGAAUGGGGCAAGCGUUGUUCGGAAUCACUGGGCUUAAAGCGUGCGUAGGCGGCUAUGAAAGUCAGGAGUGAAAUCCCAGGGCUUAACCCUGGAAUUGCUUUUGAAACUCCAUAGCUAGAAUCCGGGAGAGGUUAGCAGAAUUCCGAGUGUAGAGGUGAAAUUCGCAGAUAUUCGGAGGAAUACCAGUGGCGUAGGCGGCUAACUGGACCGGCACUGACGCUGAGGCACGAAAGCGUGGGGAGCAAACAGG